rnacentral:tRNA from 1 species
GCCUCCAUAGCUCAGUUGGUUAGAGCAGCGGACUUUUAAUCCGACGGUCGCCGGUUCGAGUCCGGCUGGGGGUA